rnacentral:rRNA from 1 species
AUUGAACGCUGGCGGCAUGCCUUACACAUGCAAGUCGAACGGUAACAGGUUAAGCUGACGAGUGGCGAACGGGUGAGUAAUGUAUCGGAACGUGCCCAGUCGUGGGGGAUAACUACUUGAAAGAGUGGCUAAUACCGCAUACGACCUGAGGGUGAAAGCGGGGGAUCGCAAGACCUCGCGCGAUUGGAGCGGCCGAUAUCAGAUUAGCUAGUUGGUGAGGUAAAGGCUCACCAAGGCGACGAUCUGUAGCUGGUCUGAGAGGACGACCAGCCACACUGGGACUGAGACACGGCCCAGACUCCUACGGGAGGCAGCAGUGGGGAAUUUUGGACAAUGGGCGCAAGCCUGAUCCAGCCAUGCCGCGUGUGGGAAGAAGGCCUUCGGGUUGUAAACCACUUUUGUCGGGGAAGAAACGGUUUGGGCUAAUACCCUGAGCUAAUGACGGUACCCGAAGAAUAAGCACCGGCUAACUACGUGCCAGCAGCCGCCGCCG